rnacentral:rRNA from 1 species
GACGUAGGUGGCGAACGUUAUCCGGAAUUAUUGGGCGUAAAGGAUGCGUAGAUGGUGUAGUAAGUUAUCGGUGGCAAAUCGAGGCUCAACCUCGUGGAAGUCGGUAAUACUGCUAUGCUAGAGGAUAGGAGAGGUUAACGGAACUCCCUGUGGAGCGGUGAAAUGCGUAGAUAUAGGGAAGAACACCAAUAAGGCGAAGGCAGUUAAUUAUUCUAUUCCUGACAUUGAGGCAUGAAAGCGUGGGGAGCAAUACGG